UACGAAGGGGGCGAGCGUUAUUCGGAAUCACUGGGCGUAAAGGGUGCGUAGGCUGUUUUGCAAGUUGGGAGUGAAAUCCCGGGGCUCAACCCCGGAACUGCUUCCAAAACUGCGAGACUCGAAUUCGGGAGAGGAUAGCGGAAUUCCUAGUGUAGUAGUGAAAUACGUAGAUAUUAGGAGGAACACCGGUGGCGAAGGCGGCUAUCUGGACCGACAUUGACGCUGAGGCACGAAAGCGUGGGGAUCAAACAGG
rnacentral:rRNA from 1 species